ACUUCACCAGUAUGUGGUGAUGGGACUAUGCAAAAGUUAAUGAUUUUCUUUUGCAAUUUUCAAUUUUGGUCAAUGUAAUGUGCUGUGAGGCACAAAUAACCAAGAUUUUGGAUAGAAGUCCACAUAUCUGUAGUUAGACAAACCCUUUG